CUACUGGGGUUUCUAAUCCUGUUUGCUCCCCACACUUUCGCACCUCAGCGUCAAUACUUGUCCAGUCAGUCGCCUUCGCCACUGGUGUUCUUCCGAAUAUCUACGAAUUUCACCUCUACACUCGGAAUUCCACUGACCUCUCCAAGAUUCUAGCUACCUAGUUUCAAAGGCAGUUCCGGGGUUGAGCCCCGGGCUUUCACCUCUGACUUGAGUAGCCGCCUACGCGCGCUUUACGCCCAGUAAUUCCGAACAACGCUAGCUCCCUCCGUAUUACCGCGGCUGCUGGCAC
rnacentral:rRNA from 1 species